AGACCCGAAACCCGGUGAUCUAGCCAUGGGCAGGUUGAAGGUUGGGUAACACUAACUGGAGGACCGAACCGACUAAUGUUGAAAAAUUAGCGGAUGACCUGUGGCUGGGGGUGAAAGGCCAAUCAAACCGGGAGAUAGCUGGUUCUCCCCGAAAGCUAUUUAGGUAGCGCCUCGUGAACUCAUCUCCGGGGGUAGAGCACUGUUUCGGCUAGGGGGCCAUCCCGGCUUACCAACCCGAUGCAAACUGCGAAUACCGGAGAAUGUUAUCACGGGAGACACACGGCGGGUGCUAACGUCCGUCGUGAAGAGGGAAACAACCCAGACCGCCAGCUAAGGUCCCAAAGUCAUGGUUAAGUGGGAAACGAUGUGGGAAGGCCCAGACAGCCAGGAUGUUGGCUUAGAAGCAGCCAUCAUUUAAAGAAAGCGUAAUAGCUCACUGGUCGAGUCGGCCUGCGCGGAAGAUGUAACGGGGCUAAACCAUGCACCGAAGCUGCGGCAGCGACACUUUAGUGUUGUUGGGUAGGGGAGCGUUCUGUAAGCCGUUGAAGGUGUCCUGUGAGGGGUGCUGGAGGUAUCAGAAGUGCGAAUGCUGACAUAAGUAACGAUAAAGCGGGUGAAAAGCCCGCUCGCCGGAAGACCAAGGGUUCCUGUCCAACGUUAAUCGGGGCAGGGUGAGUCGACCCCUAAGGCGAGGCCGAAAGGCGUAGUCGAUGGGAAACGGGUUAAUAUUCCCGUACUUGGUGUUACUGCGAAGGGGGGACGGAGAAGGCUAUGUUGGCCGGGCGACGGUAGUCCCGGUUUAAGCGUGUAGGCUGGUUUUCCAGGCAAAUCCGGAAAAUCAAGGCUGAGGCGUGAUGACGAGGCACCACGGUGCUGAAGCAACAAAUGCCCUGCUUCCAGGAAAAGCCUCUAAGCAUCAGGUAACAUCAAAUCGUACCCCAAACCGACACAGGUGGUCAGGUAGAGAAUACCAAGGCGCUUGAGAGAACUCGGGUGAAGGAACUAGGCAAAAUGGUGCCGUAACUUCGGGAGAAGGCACGCUGACACGUAGGUGAAGUGAUUUACUCACGGAGCUGAAGUCAGUCGAAGAUACCAGCUGGCUGCAACUGUUUAUUAAAAACACAGCACUGUGCAAACACGAAAGUGGACGUAUACGGUGUGACGCCUGCCCGGUGCCGGAAGGUUAAUUGAUGGGGUCAGCGCAAGCGAAGCUCCUGAUCGAAGCCCCGGUAAACGGCGGCCGUAACUAUAACGGUCCUAAGGUAGCGAAAUUCCUUGUCGGGUAAGUUCCGACCUGCACGAAUGGCGUAAUGAUGGCCAGGCUGUCUCCACCCGAGACUCAGUGAAAUUGAACUCGCUGUGAAGAUGCAGUGUACCCGCGGCAAGACGGAAAGACCCCGUGAACCUUUACUAUAGCUUGACACUGAACAUUGAGCCUUGAUGUGUAGGAUAGGUGGGAGGCUUUGAAGCGUGGACGCCAGUCUGCGUGGAGCCGACCUUGAAAUACCACCCUUUAAUGUUUGAUGUUCUAACGUGGACCCGUAAUCCGGGUUGCGGACAGUGUCUGGUGGGUAGUUUGACUGGGGCGGUCUCCUCCUAAAGAGUAACGGAGGAGCACGAAGGUUGGCUAAUCCUGGUCGGACAUCAGGAGGUUAGUGCAAUGGCAUAAGCCAGCUUGACUGCGAGCGUGACGGCGCGAGCAGGUGCGAAAGCAGGUCAUAGUGAUCCGGUGGUUCUGAAUGGAAGGGCCAUCGCUCAACGGAUAAAAGGUACUCCGGGGAUAACAGGCUGAUACCGCCCAAGAGUUCAUAUCGACGGCGGUGUUUGGCACCUCGAUGUCGGCUCAUCACAUCCUGGGGCUGAAGUAGGUCCCAAGGGUAUGGCUGUUCGCCAUUUAAAGUGGUACGCGAGCUGGGUUUAGAACGUCGUGAGACAGUUCGGUCCCUAUCUGCCGUGGGCGCUGGAAGACUGAGGGGGGCUGCUCCUAGUACGAGAGGACCGGAGUGGACGCAUCACUGGUGUUCGGGUUGUCAUGCCAAUGGCACUGCCCGGUAGCUAAAUGCGGAAAAGAUAAGUGCUGAAAGCAUCUAAGCACGAAACUUGCCCCGAGAUGAGUCUUCCCUGAGACUUUGAGUCUCCUGAAGGAACGUUAAAGACGAUGACGUUGAUAGGCCGGGUGUGUAAGCGCAGCGAUGCGUUGAGCUAACCGGUACUAAUGAACCGUGAGG
rnacentral:rRNA from 1 species